UCAGCAGUCAGCUGCUUGCUCGGCUGACAGUGCAUUGUUGAUGGCACACACGUUUCCAGUGAGAAUUCUUACCUGAAUGACUUAAUUAGAGAACCAGAAAUCUAAUCCUCAAGAAUGAAAUGCCAGGAUUUGCCUUGAGAAUAAAAUGCCAUGGCCUCUGGCUCUUUCUGCAUAGAGAGGUAUUUAUCAGGAAAAGAAUUAUUAGAACUCAACAGAAACUAUAGAAUCAACAAGUUCAAUAAUAAAAAUCUGUGAAAUACAAGCAUGAUUUUAUCAGCAAAAACAAUUCUCUUUAAAAAGCUGCUUAACAACAUUCCAUACAAUGUAAGUCUUUUGAUUGACCAAGUACAAGAAGAAAAUCCCCACUAAUCCAAAAC